rnacentral:rRNA from 1 species
CCUACGGGCGGCUGCAGUGAGGAAUAUUGGUCAAUGGGCGCGAGCCUGAACCAGCCAAGUAGCGUGAAGGAUGACUGCCCUACGGGGUGUAAACUUCUGUUAUAAAGGAAUAAAGUGAGGCACGUGUGCCUUUUUGUAUGUACUUUAUGAAUAAGGAUCGGCUAACUCCGUGCCAGCAGCCGCGGUAAUACGGAGGAUCCGAGCGUUAUCCGGAUUUAUUGGGUUUAAAGGGAGCGUAGAUGGGUUGUUAAGUCAGUUGUGACAGUUUGCGGCUCAACCGUAAAAUUGCAAUUGUUACUGGCAGUCUUGAGUACAGUUGCGGUAGGCGGACUUCGUGGUGUAGCUG